rnacentral:rRNA from 1 species
AUUGAACGCUGGCGGCAGGCUUAACACAUGCAAGUCGGGCGAGCGGCGGACGGGUGAGUAAUGUCUGGGGAACUGCCUGAUGGCGGGGGAUAACUACUGGAAACGGUAGCUAAUACCGCAUACCAUCAGAUGUGCCCCGAUGGGAUUAGCUAGUAGGUGGGGUAAUGGCUCACCUAGUCUACGAUCCCUAGCUGGUCUGAGAGGAUGAACAGCCACACUGGAACUGAGACACGGUCCAGACUCCUACGGGAGGCAGAAGUGGGGAAUAUUGCACAAUGGGGGAAAUCCUGAGUCAGCCAUGCCGCGUGUAUGAAGAAGGCCUUCGGGUUGUAAAGUACUUUCAGUAGAGAAGCGUUAUCUGCAGAAUAAGCGCCGGCUAACUACGUGCCAGCAGCCGCGGUAAUAC